GUUCAUGAGGGCGGAUCCUCCGUUCCAAAACCUUUUUCAAGACAGAGGAACCAUCCGGUUGAAAUAUUACUGAAUCUUCACGUUCUAAAGGCCCAAAGAUUGAUGUUGUACAACGUUUGACAUGUUUGAACGAACGUAAAUACAACUUUUCUUAAACUUUUCGUCGUGACAUCGUCCGCGAACUUCCUACAUUUGGAGUAGCUUACUGAACGCGUGAACAACAAGGAGUUAUUUGGACAUAAAUUAUGGACUUUAUCGAACAAAACAACAUUUGUUGUGGACCUGGGAUUCCUGGAAGUGCCUUCUGAUGAAGAUCAUCAAAGUUAUCAAUGACAAACAAAUCUGUGUUUAUCAAUGAUGUCACCUUUGGCCAAAUGCCCCAGUACUGUUGGGCAGGGUCCUGACCCCUGAGAAGAAUCUGGUGUUGCAGUCAAAAAUACAGACGGCGGCCAUUGGCACCAACAGCACCUACCUCCCUAUUGAGGUCCUCACGGGCCUCCAGUUCUUCCCCCUGAAGCAGACGGAUUCCCCCUCUCUGAGGUUAUGCAGUGGUGUCCCCUUCUUCCCCCAGUCCAGCUGUGUGUCAGCCCUCGGAGGUUCUAGAGAUGACAGAGAGGGGAACCUUAAACUACAGCUGAUGGUGAUUGAUAUGUUGUGUCAGAUACUGCAGACUGAGUCUAUAUGGGAUGUCCAGCAAUGGAUUCUGACAGCUGGUCAAAGAGAAAAGGACCAGGUUCUAAGUCUGCUGUGUUCCGCCCUGGCCAAGGACCCUGUCUCAGCCUAUGAGGCUCCAGGAAGAGAGCAGCUGACAGUGAAGGAGGUUCAAAACUUCCCUCCUGCCUCCAGAAUGGCUUUGAUCAGUGAGAAGGAUACCACCAGAAAUCAUUCCCUAGAAAUGAUGUCAAACUGUGACUCAGGUAAACUGGAGGAUGCAGACACAGAGAGGGCAGAGUCCAAGACCCCCAGG
rnacentral:lncRNA from 1 species